AAAACUCCAUAAAAAUUACAGAACAAUAAAAAACCCAAAAAGCAGUCCACUUAUGAUAGAAAUGAACUUUUUACACAGUAGAAAAGCUUUCCUUUUUUCUAAGCUAAAGUUCAAGUUUUUUAUCAGUCAAUCAAAAUAAAAACAACCACCAAAAAGAAUCAAAACAAGACUACAAAACAAAUUUCCCAAAACAAUUUUACAAAAUUCACAAAUUAUUUUUUUUAAAAAAAUUGAUAAAAAAGAAAUUAAAAAAAAAAGUAAGCACCAAACAAACCAACCUAAAAACCCCUAAUUGAUCUUGAUCAUCAGAAGACCCAGAUGAGCUAACACUAGAAACCGAAACCGACUCAGAUCCCAAUCCAACCUUUAGAUCACUUCCCAAAGUCAACAUGGAUGGUCG
rnacentral:lncRNA from 1 species